rnacentral:rRNA from 1 species
AGAACGAACGCUGGCGGCAGGCUUAACACAUGCAAGUCGAACGCCCCGCAAGGGGAGUGGCAGACGGGUGAGUAACGCGUGGGAAUCUACCCAGUUCUACGGAAUAACACAGGGAAACUUGUGCUAAUACCGUAUACGCCCUACGGGGGAAAGAUUUAUCGGGAUUGGAUGAGCCCGCGUUGGAUUAGCUAGUUGGUGGGGUAAUGGCCUACCAAGGCGACGAUCCAUAGCUGGUCUGAGAGGAUGAUCAGCCACACUGGGACUGAGACACGGCCCAGACUCCUACGGGAGGCAGCAGUGGGGAAUAUUGGACAAUGGGCGCAAGCCUGAUCCAGCCAUGCCGCGUGAGUGAUGAAGGCCUUAGGGUUGUAAAGCUCUUUCAGUGGGGAAGAUAAUGACGGUACCACAGAAGAAGCCCCGGCUAACUUCGUGCCAGCAGCCGC